rnacentral:sRNA from 1 species
UUUGGAAGUGCAGACCUAUUUAUGUCAGUCCGGUUAGUCAUUCUGCGUUAAGUGUUUCUUUUUAGUUACCUUAACAUAGCGAAUUCCUUCUAAUAGUUCCCAUAAGUAAAUCGAAAUCAAACCGCAAAUACGCCUUAUGGCAACAAGAUAAAAUUAAAGGAAAUACAAAUGUCUAACACAAUCACUGGUACUGUAAAAUGGUUUAACGAUGAUAAAGGUUUUGGCUUUAUCACUCCAGCUGACGGUAGCAAAGACGUGUUUGUUCACUUCUCUGCAAUCCAGAGCGACAACUUCAAAUCACUGGCUGAAGGCCAGAAAGUUUCUUUCACCAUUGAAAAUGGUAUGAAAGGCCCGGCAGCGGGUAAUGUGGUAGCGCUGUAAUUCAGCCACCCAUUAAGCAGAUUUAAGAACCUCACUUCGGUGGGGUUUU